AGCGAACGCUGGCGGCAGGCUUAACACAUGCAAGUCGAGCGGGCGUAGCAAUACGUCAGCGGCAGACGGGUGAGUAACGCGUGGGAACGUACCUUUUGGUUCGGAACAACACAGGGAAACUUGUGCUAAUACCGGAUAAGCCCUUACGGGGAAAGAUUUAUCGCCGAAAGAUCGGCCCGCGUCUGAUUAGCUAGUUGGUG
rnacentral:rRNA from 1 species